AUUGAACGCUGGCGGCAGGCCUAACACAUGCAAGUCGAACGGUAACAGGAAGAAGCUUGCUUCUUUGCUGACGAGUGGCGGACGGGUGAGUAAUGUCUGGGAAACUGCCUGAUGGAGGGGGAUAACUACUGGAAACGGUAGCUAAUACCGCAUAACGUCGCAAGACCAAAGAGGGGGACCUUCGGGCCUCUUGCCAUCGGAUGUGCCCAGAUGGGAUUAGCUAGUAGGUGGGGGAACGGCUCACCUAGGCGACGAUCCCUAGCUGGUCUGAGAGGAUGACCAGCCACACUGGAACUGAGACACGGUCCAGACUCCUACGGGAGGCAGCAGUGGGGAAUAUUGCACAAUGGGCGCAAGCCUGAUGCAGCCAUGCCGCGUGUAUGAAGAAGGCCUUCGGGUUGUAAAGUACUUUCAGCGGGGAGGAAGGGAGUAAAGUUAAUACCUUUGCUCAUUGACGUUACCCGCAGAAGAAGCACCGGCUAACUCCGUG
rnacentral:rRNA from 1 species